rnacentral:rRNA from 1 species
UUAAGCGACUAAGCGUACACGGUGGAUGCCCUGGCAGUCAGAGGCGAUGAAGGACGUGCUAAUCUGCGAUAAGCGUCGGUAAGGUGAUAUGAACCGUUAUAACCGGCGAUUUCCGAAUGGGGAAACCCAGUGUGUUUCGACACACUAUCAUUAACUGAAUCCAUAGGUUAAUGAGGCGAACCGGGGGAACUGAAACAUCUAAGUACCCCGAGGAAAAGAAAUCAACCGAGAUUCCCCCAGUAGCGGCGAGCGAACGGGGAGGAGCCCAGAGCCUGAAUCAGUGUGUGUGUUAGUGGAAGCGUCUGGAAAGGCGCGCGAUACAGGGUGACAGCCCCGUACACAAAAAUGCACAUACUGUGAGCUCGAUGAGUAGGGCGGGACACGUGGUAUCCUGUCUGAAUAUGGGGGGACCAUCCUCCAAGGCUAAAUACUCCUGACUGACCGAUAGUGAACCAGUACCGUGAGGGAAAGGCGAAAAGAACCCCGGCGAGGGGAGUGAAAAAGAACCUGAAACCGUGUACGUACAAGCAGUGGGAGCCUCUUUUAUGGGGUGACUGCGUACCUUUUGUAUAAUGGGUCAGCGACUUAUAUUCUGUAGCAAGGUUAACCGAAUAGGGGAGCCGAAGGGAAACCGAGUCUUAACUGGGCGUUAAGUUGCAGGGUAUAGACCCGAAACCCGGUGAUCUAGCCAUGGGCAGGUUGAAGGUUGGGUAACACUAACUGGAGGACCGAACCGACUAAUGUUGAAAAAUUAGCGGAUGACUUGUGGCUGGGGGUGAAAGGCCAAUCAAACCGGGAGAUAGCUGGUUCUCCCCGAAAGCUAUUUAGGUAGCGCCUCGUGAACUCAUCUCCGGGGGUAGAGCACUGUUUCGGCAAGGGGGUCAUCCCGACUUACCAACCCGAUGCAAACUGCGAAUACCGGAGAAUGUUAUCACGGGAGACACACGGCGGGUGCUAACGUCCGUCGUGAAGAGGGAAACAACCCAGACCGCCAGCUAAGGUCCCAAAGUCAUGGUUAAGUGGGAAACGAUGUGGGAAGGCCCAGACAGCCAGGAUGUUGGCUUAGAAGCAGCCAUCAUUUAAAGAAAGCGUAAUAGCUCACUGGUCGAGUCGGCCUGCGCGGAAGAUGUAACGGGGCUAAACCAUGCACCGAAGCUGCGGCAGCGACACUAUGUGUUGUUGGGUAGGGGAGCGUUCUGUAAGCCUGUGAAGGUGUGCUGUGAGGCAUGCUGGAGGUAUCAGAAGUGCGAAUGCUGACAUAAGUAACGAUAAAGCGGGUGAAAAGCCCGCUCGCCGGAAGACCAAGGGUUCCUGUCCAACGUUAAUCGGGGCAGGGUGAGUCGACCCCUAAGGCGAGGCCGAAAGGCGUAGUCGAUGGGAAACAGGUUAAUAUUCCUGUACUUGGUGUUACUGCGAAGGGGGGACGGAGAAGGCUAUGUUGGCCGGGCGACGGUUGUCCCGGUUUAAGCGUGUAGGCUGGUUUUCCAGGCAAAUCCGGAAAAUCAAGGCUGAGGCGUGAUGACGAGGCACUACGGUGCUGAAGCAACAAAUGCCCUGCUUCCAGGAAAAGCCUCUAAGCAUCAGGUAACAUCAAAUCGUACCCCAAACCGACACAGGUGGUCAGGUAGAGAAUACCAAGGCGCUUGAGAGAACUCGGGUGAAGGAACUAGGCAAAAUGGUGCCGUAACUUCGGGAGAAGGCACGCUGAUAUGUAGGUGAAGUCCCUCGCGGAUGGAGCUGAAAUCAGUCGAAGAUACCAGCUGGCUGCAACUGUUUAUUAAAAACACAGCACUGUGCAAACACGAAAGUGGACGUAUACGGUGUGACGCCUGCCCGGUGCCGGAAGGUUAAUUGAUGGGGUCAGCGCAAGCGAAGCUCUUGAUCGAAGCCCCGGUAAACGGCGGCCGUAACUAUAACGGUCCUAAGGUAGCGAAAUUCCUUGUCGGGUAAGUUCCGACCUGCACGAAUGGCGUAAUGAUGGCCAGGCUGUCUCCACCCGAGACUCAGUGAAAUUGAACUCGCUGUGAAGAUGCAGUGUACCCGCGGCAAGACGGAAAGACCCCGUGAACCUUUACUAUAGCUUGACACUGAACAUUGAGCCUUGAUGUGUAGGAUAGGUGGGAGGCUUAGAAGUGUGGACGCCAGUCUGCAUGGAGCCGACCUUGAAAUACCACCCUUUAAUGUUUGAUGUUCUAACGUUGACCCGUGAUCCGGGUUGCGGACAGUGUCUGGUGGGUAGUUUGACUGGGGCGGUCUCCUCCUAAAGAGUAACGGAGGAGCACGAAGGUUGGCUAAUCCUGGUCGGACAUCAGGAGGUUAGUGCAAUGGCAUAAGCCAGCUUGACUGCGAGCGUGACGGCGCGAGCAGGUGCGAAAGCAGGUCAUAGUGAUCCGGUGGUUCUGAAUGGAAGGGCCAUCGCUCAACGGAUAAAAGGUACUCCGGGGAUAACAGGCUGAUACCGCCCAAGAGUUCAUAUCGACGGCGGUGUUUGGCACCUCGAUGUCGGCUCAUCACAUCCUGGGGCUGAAGUAGGUCCCAAGGGUAUGGCUGUUCGCCAUUUAAAGUGGUACGCGAGCUGGGUUUAGAACGUCGUGAGACAGUUCGGUCCCUAUCUGCCGUGGGCGCUGGAGAACUGAGGGGGGCUGCUCCUAGUACGAGAGGACCGGAGUGGACGCAUCACUGGUGUUCGGGUUGUCAUGCCAAUGGCACUGCCCGGUAGCUAAAUGCGGAAGAGAUAAGUGCUGAAAGCAUCUAAGCACGAAACUUGCCCCGAGAUGAGUUCUCCCUGACCCUUUAAGGGUCCUGAAGGAACGUUGAAGACGACGACGUUGAUAGGCCGGGUGUGUAAGCGCAGCGAUGCGUUGAGCUAACCGGUACUAAUGAACCGUGAGGCUUAACCUU